rnacentral:rRNA from 1 species
AUUGAACGCUGGCGGCAUGCCUUACACAUGCAAGUCGAACGGUAACAGGUCUUCGGAUGCUGACGAGUGGCGAACGGGUGAGUAAUACAUCGGAACGUGCCUAGUCGUGGGGGAUAACUACCCGAAAGAGUGGCUAAUACCGCAUGAGAUCUACGGAUGAAAGCAGGGGUGCGCAAGACCUUGUGCUACUAGACUGGCCGAUGGCAGAUUAGGUAGUUGGUGGGAUAAAAGCUUACCAAGCCGACGAUCUGUAGCUGGUCUGAGAGGACGAUCAGCCACACUGGGACUGAGACACGGCCCAGACUCCUACGGGAGGCAGCAGUGGGGAAUUUUGGACAAUGGGCGAAAGCCUGAUCCAGCAAUGCCGCGUGCAGGAUGAAGGCCUUCGGGUUGUAAACUGCUUUUGUACGGAACGAAAAGCCCCGGGUUAAUACCCUGGGGUCAUGACGGUACCGUAAGAAUAAGCACCGGCUAACUACGUGCCAGCCGCCGCCGUAA